GACGAACGCUGGCGGCGCGCUUAACACAUGCAAGUCGAGCGAAGCGGCGGACGGGUGAGUAACACGUGAGUAACCUGCCUUAGACAUUGGGAUAGCCUCGGGAAACCGGGAUUCAUACCAAAUGGUCUAAGAUGGACUCGCGUCCCAUUAGCUAGUUGGUGGGUAACGGCCCACCAAGGCGACGAUGGGUAGCCGGCCUGAGGGGGGUAACGGCCACAUUGGAACUGAGAAACGGUCCAAACUCUACGUGAGGCAGCAGUGGGGGAAAUUGCACAAGGGGCGAAGGCCUGAUGCAGCGACGCCGCGUGGGGGUUGAGGGCUUUCGGGUUGUAAACCUCUUUCGCUAUCGAACGGGUAGGUGGAGAAGAAGCGCCGGCUAACUACGUGCCAGCAGCCGCGGUAAUUC
rnacentral:rRNA from 1 species